rnacentral:lncRNA from 1 species
UCACAAAAGCCGUAGCCAAUCAGCACGCUCGCUGGCGCAGUGGGCGGGGGAGGUUGUUGCCGGGCGACGGGAGGGCAGGCCGGGUUUGGGAUCUGAGGCCGCCCAGGUGCCUGAUUUCCGGACAGGGUCGCUGUGGCCUCCGUGUUCCUCGGGGCUCUGGGGACCUCUAGAGUUCACCGUGAGCUGCAGAAGCCGCUCCAGAUGAAAUGGUGAAGCAGUUGGGAAAGACUAUUAAGAUACUCCAGGGGUCCUCACCAUGCAGAGCCUGGAAUACUUCACAUUUCGUACAAAAUAUCACAUGGAUCAGCGGCAGGUAAAACAGUUGACAGACUUGCUAACAGGAGAAGAAAGAAGAGCUGAAGACAGAAAAUGAAAAGCAGCCAAAUAAAUCAUCAACUAUGAUUCCA